GACGAACGCUGGCGGCGUGCCUAAUACAUGCAAGUAGAACGCUGAAGGAGGAGCUUGCUUCUCCGGAUGAGUUGCGAACGGGUGAGUAACGCGUAGGUAACCUGCCUGGUAGCGGGGGAUAACUAUUGGAAACGAUAGCUAAUACCGCAUAAGAGUAGAUGUUGCAUGACAUUUGCUUAAAAGGUGCACUUGCAUCACUACCAGAUGGACCUGCGUUGUAUUAGCUAGUUGGUGGGGUAACGGCUCACCAAGGCGACGAUACAUAGCCGACCUGAGAGGGUGAGCGGCCACACUGGGACUGAGACACGGCCCAGACUCCUACGGGAGGCAGCAGUAGGGAAUCUUCGGCAAUGGACGGAAGUCUGACCGAGCAACGCCGCGUGAGUGAAGAAGGUUUUCGGAUCGUAAAGCUCUGUUGUAAGAGAAGAACGAGUGUGAGAGUGGAAAGUUCACACUGUGACGGUAUCUUACCAGAAAGGGACGGCUAACUACGUG
rnacentral:rRNA from 1 species